AACCUGCCUCAAGGCUGGGGAUAACAUUUGGAAACAGAUGCUAAUAGCGAAUAAAACUUAGUGUCGCAUGACACAAAGUUAAAAGGCGCUUCGGCGUCACCUAGAGAUGGAUCCGCGGUGCAUUAGUUAGUUGGUGGGGUAAAGGCCUACCAAGACAAUGAUGCAUAGCCGAGUUGAGAACUGAUCGGCCACAGGGGGACUGAGACACGGCCCAAACUCCUACGGGAGGCUGCAGUAGGGAAUCUUCACAAUGGGCGAAAGCCUGAUGGAGCAACGCCGCGUGUGUGAUGAAGGCUUUCGGGUCGUAAAGCACUGUUGUAUGGGAAGAACAGCUAGAAUAGGAAAUGAUUUUAGUUUGACGGUACCAUACCAGAAAGGGACGGCUAAAUACGUGCCAGCAGCCGCGGUAAUACGUAUGUCCCGAGCGUUAUCCGGAUUUAUUGGGCGUAAAGCGAGCGCAGACGGCCAUUAAGUCUGAUGUGAAAGCCCGGAGCUCAACUCCGGAAUGGCAUUGGAAACUGGUUAACUUGAGUGCAGUAGAGGUAAGUGGAACUCCCAUGUGUAGCGGUGGAAUGCGUAGAUAUAUGGAAGAACACCAGUGGCGAAGGCGGCUUACUGGACUGCAACUGACGUUGAGGCUCGAAAGUGUGGGUAGCAAACAGGAUUAGAUACCCUGGUAGUCCACACCGUAAACGAUGAACACUAGGUGUUAGGAGGUUUCCGCCUCUUAGUGCCGAAGCUAACGCAUUAAGUGUUCCGCCUGGGGAGUACGACCGCAAGGUUGAAACUCAAAGGAAUUGACGGGGACCCGCACAAGCGGUGGAGCAUGUGGUUUAAUUCGAAGCAACGCGAAGAACCUUACCAGGUCUUGACAUCCUUUGAAGCGGAGAGAUAGAAGUGUUCUCCUCGGAGACAAAGUGACAGGUGGUGCAUGGUCGUCGUCAGCUCGUGUCGUGAGAUGUUGGGUUAAGUCCCGCAACGAGCGCAACCCUUAUUGUUAGUUGCCAGCAUUCAGAUGGGCACUCUAGCGAGACUGCCGGUGACAAACCGGAGGAAGGCGGGGACGACGUCAGAUCAUCAUGCCCCUUAUGACCUGGGCUACACACGUGCUACAAUGGCGUAUACAACGAGUUGCCAACCCGCGAGGGUGAGCUAAUCUCUUAAAGUACGUCUCAGUUCGGAUUGUAGUCUGCAACUCGACUACAUGAAGUCGGAAUCGCUAGUAAUCGCGGAUCAGC
rnacentral:rRNA from 1 species